UUAUAUAGUGAAUUGACCUUUGAAAUCGGCAAAGUCUCCAUACUGUAUAAGAUUAAAUACCUCCUUAGGUAAGAGUCGAAUUUUAGCGUAAAUGUUUUCCUUCCCAAGUUGGUGACAGGC